AGCAGACUAACAGGAUUCCCCUAGUAACUGCGAGUGAAGCGGGAAAAGCUCAAAUUUAAAAUCUGGUGGUCUUUGGCUACCCGAGUUGUAAUCUAGAGAAGCGUUAUCCGCGCUGGACCGUGUACAAGUCUCCUGGAAUGGAGCGUCAUAGAGGGUGAGAAUCCCGUCUUUGACACGGACUACCAGGGCUUUGUGAUGCGCUCUCAAAGAGUCGAGUUGUUUGGGAAUGCAGCUCUAAAUGGGUGGUAAGUUCCAUCUAAAGCUAAAUAUUGGCGAGAGACCGAUAGCGAACAAGUACCGUGAGGGAAAGAUGAAAAGAACUUUGGAAAGAGAGUUAAACAGUACGUGAAAUUGUUGAAAGGGAAACGCUUAAAGUCAGUCGCAUUGGCCAGGGAUCAACCUUGCUUUUGCUUGGUGCACUUCCUGGUUAAUGGGUCAGCAUCAAUUUUGACAAAUGGAAAAAGAUCAGGGGAAUGUGGCAUCUCCGGAUGUGUUAUAGCCCUUGGUUGUAUACAUUAGUCGGGAUUGAGGAACUCAGCACGCCGCAAGGCCGGGUUUUACCACGUUCGUGCUUAGGAUGCUGGCAUAAUGGCUUUAAUCGACCCGUCUUGAAACACGGACCAAGGAGUCUAACAUGCCUGCGAGUGUUUGGGUGGAAAACCCGAGCGCGUAAUGAAAGUGAAAGUUGGGAUCCCUGUCGCGGGGAGCACCGACGCCCGGACCAGACCUUCUGUGACGGAUCCGCGGUAGAGCAUGUAUGUUGGGACCCGAAAGAUGGUGAACUAUGCCUGAAUAGGGCGAAGCCAGAGGAAACUCUGGUGGAGGCUCGUAGCGAUUCUGACGUGCAAAUCGAUCGUCGAAUUUGGGGUAUAGGGGCGAAAGACUAAUCGAACCAUCUAGUAGCUGGUCCCUGCCGAAGUUUCCCUCAGGAUAGCAGAACUCAUAUCAGAUUUAUGUGGUAAAGCGAAUGAUUAGAGGGCCCUUGGGGUUGUAACAACCUUAACCUAUUCUCAAACUUUAAAUAUGUAAGAACGAGCCGUCUCUUGAUUGGACCG
rnacentral:rRNA from 1 species